UACGGGGGGGAGCAAGCGUUGUUCGGAUUUACUGGGCGUAAAGGGCGCGUAGGCGGCCACUGCAAGUCGGUUGUGAAAUCUCCGGGCUUAACCCGGAAAGGUCAACCGAUACUGCAGGGCUAGAGUGCGGAAGGGGCAACUGGAAUUCUCGGUGUAGCGGUGAAAUGCGUAGAUAUCGAGAGGAACACCUGCGGCGAAGGCGGGUUGCUGGGCCGACACUGACGCUGAUGCGCGAAAGCUAGGGGAGCGAACGGG
rnacentral:rRNA from 1 species